CGUAGGGUGCGAGCGUUGUCCGGAAUUAUUGGGCGUAAAGAGCUUGUAGGCGGCUUGUCGCGUCUGCUGUGAAAGCCCGGGGCUUAACCCCGGGUCUGCAGUGGGUACGGGCAGGCUAGAGUGUGGUAGGGGAGACUGGAAUUCCUGGUGUAGCGGUGGAAUGCGCAGAUAUCAGGAGGAACACCGAUGGCGAAGGCAGGUCUCUGGGCCAUUACUGACGCUGAGAAGCGAAAGCGUGGGGGAGCGAACAGGAUU
rnacentral:rRNA from 1 species